GCUGAUGCUCUGGGUGAAGAGUGGAAG
rnacentral:piRNA from 1 species